rnacentral:rRNA from 1 species
UACGUAGGGCGCAAGCGUUGUCCGGAAUUAUUGGGCGUAAAGAGCUCGUAGGCGGCCAGUUGCGUCCGCUGUGAAAUCCUGGGGCUUAACCCCGGGCGUGCAGUGGAUACGGGCUGGCUAGAGGCAGGCAGGGGAGAACGGAAUUCCCGGUGUAGCGGUGAAAUGCGCAGAUAUCGGGAGGAACACCGGUGGCGAAGGCGGUUCUCUGGGCCUGUACUGACGCUGAGGAGCGAAAGCGUGGGUAGCAAACAGG